rnacentral:lncRNA from 1 species
GGAGAAGGUCAGAGAGUGAAUUCCAAGGUGCUACAUUUGUAGCAUGGGGGUGAAGGUGUACAAGGUGUAGCAUUUGUAGCUACCCCGUAUUUCCCACAAGGGUAGCAUGUCCUGCACUCCAUCAGUAGCCAAGGAAGGCCUCCCCAAGGAGGUGACAUUUGAGCAGAGACCAGUGAAAUGAGAAAGUAAGUAAAUGAGGGAGAGCAGCAAGUGCAAAGGCUGUGGGGUGAAAACAAAUGUGGCAUGUUCUAGGACCUGCAAGUAGACCCUCGUGACAGGGAAAGUGAACAGAGAAGAGAGUGCUAGCAGAUGAGGUUGGAUGACUGGGCAGGUAUCUUGAAGGUCAUGCCAAGGAGUCUGCAUUUUAUGCUAGGUGGGAUGGGAAGCCAUGGGAGAGCUUUGAGCAGGGGAGCGACAGGCUCUGAUUAGGUUUGGACUAGGCUCCUUCUGGUUGCAGGGUAGAGACCAGAAUCGAGGAAGAUCGGAGUGGAAGAAAAUGGAGCUGGUGUCUCAGUGAAGACAUGCCCAGAGAUGCCCAAAGAUGCCCAAUGGAUGAGCUGCUGCAACCUGUCUCAGCCAUGGGGGAUGGGAGAGGAAAGUGGAGAAAGGACAAAAAAAAAAAAAAACGAGUAGAGAGAAAAGAAGUGAAUAUGUAAUGCAAAAAUUAAAAUUACCUGAUAAGUCAGGACAUGGGAAGUUCUGCCUCCCUAAUGGGGACCCAGGAAGAUGUAGGAAGAGAAGUAAAGCCACUUUCUAAGGACAUGGAGAAAUUCAGAACACCAAGCCGCCCAGGUUUCCUGGCUCCCAGUCUUGGCACACAGUGCUCCACCUUGCUGGGUAAUUCAGGGCCCUGGAGUGACUUUCUUUGAAGCUGGUGUCCACUCACUCUUUCUCUCCAGAGCUUUGGCCAGCUAGCCCCAGAAAUCUUCCAGUGGCCCAUCAGAGAGCAAGCUGGCAGAGCUGUCACUCCCGCCAUGGAAGUCAGCACAUAAAACAUUCUACUGUGGAAAUCAGAAAAAGCAAGAUUAUCUUAGGAGAAACACAAUCUCUCGUCUUAAAGAUGAAAGGACUGCACCUUGAGAGGCCCUUCCUGUUGAGUUGUCAUCUGAACAAAUCAGAGUGGUGGUUGAGGACACCAGAUGUAUUAUUUCCUGCCACAGCAAAUUGGAGGGCUCGCACUGUUCCACCGCCAUCAACUUAGGAAGCAAUUGAAUUUGUUGAUUAUCUUUGCAAGAGGGAGAAGCUUAGCAUCAAUGAAGACAUUGGUAUUUGGAUAGAGGACUUCAUCAACAAGGUUCUUUCAUCUUCCUUAGUUGUUUGGAUCCUUAAGCCUGCCUUGAAAGAAGAGGGAGAAGGCUUCAGGGGAAAUGCUCCCCGCGCUGACCCACAGGAUGGCUUCCUUCAACAAAUGCAGCCACCUUUGAUUGGCUGCCUGCUACAAGAGAAACAUCAGGAGGUACGUAUUGCCAUGGGGGGAACUGAAGAUGGAGGACCCCUCAUUUGUGGAAUUGGGAACGGGCUUUGGGUCACAUGAGGCUCAUCCCUGAUGAGCUAGAACGUGGAAGUUACCUGAAUCCAGAAACCGAUAUUAGGCUCUGUAAUGGACAUGCAGAGGAAGAAGGACCUGUUGCCACGUCUACAGAGGGGUCAGGAAAGACACACUUGGAAUGACCCUAAGAAACCAUGGGCAAGUCUCCAUUUUUUUCCCUCAGCCAAAUCUGUAUGCACUGGUACAGCCAUACCAAUUAUUAAAAUAUUGAAAAACUUCUGUGUCCCUUGGGAAACAGCCACUACCAUGAGCCCCACUACUGCCCUUCUCUCCUGGCAUGUUCAGACCUCCCUGAGUCCAGCAAUGAAAGGGUUAACACUUGCCCCAGCAGAGGGCCUCUGGGAGCCAGCUCCUGCCUUCAGAGCUGUCUGUUAAGACUGGUCUAGGACUAGAUUCAUUCUUACUGUUUUUAAAUAGCUUGAAUGUCACCUCCAGAUGAAGCUCCCCAAACGGAAUGAGACAUCUAAAUAGAGCCACAUGGGGUCCAUCUGGGGUGGCUCCCCAGAGGACAAAUUUUGCAAAGGAAAUCUGAUGGGGUAAGAGAUGCAAUUUAGUGGCUAGGAGAGUGAGGG